rnacentral:tRNA from 1 species
UGGGCGAAACGCACAAAGGUGUGCGGCCGGGCUGUUAACCCGUGUGAGGUAGGUUCGAUCCCUACUCGUCCAGCCA